GAUGAGCGCUGGCGGCGUGCCUAAUACAUGCAAGUCGAGCGAACGGACGAGAAGCUUGCUUCUCUGAUGUUAGCGGCGGACGGGUGAGUAACACGUGGAUAACCUACCUAUAAGACUGGGAUAACUUCGGGAAACCGGAGCUAAUACCGGAUAAUAUUUUGAACCGCAUGGUUCAAAAGUGAAAGACGGUCUUGCUGUCACUUAUAGAUGGAUCCGCGCUGCAUUAGCUAGUUGGUAAGGUAACGGCUUACCAAGGCAACGAUGCAUAGCCGACCUGAGCGGGUGAUCGGCCACACUGGAACUGAGACACGGUCCAGACUCCUACGGGAGGCAGCAGUAGGGAAUCUUCCGCAAUGGGCGAAAGCCUGACGGAGCAACGCCGCGUGAGUGAUGAAGGUCUUCGGAUCGUAAAACUCUGUUAUUAGGGAAGAACAUAUGUGUAAGUAACUGUGCACAUCUUGACGGUACCUAAUCAGAAAGCCACGGCUAACUACGUG
rnacentral:rRNA from 1 species